UUCAUAGUUCCUGAAUUUUCAGGGACUGUCCCUUGCUUUUAGCUACAGUCUCAGCAAAUUCAGACCAUCCUGGACCGAAAAAUGCACAGGGCUUAUCUAAGCCCUACCCAUUAAUGUGUUGUCCCACCUGGUUUGGGGGGCGCUGUCUAUUUGGCCUUAAUUUACCAACUCCGGUGUUGGCAAGUAUGUGUAUUUGGCUAAUAUAUAGAAUUUAUAGCACAUUCGGAACAAUGCAAGACACAGUAUGUACAUACAUGCAGGUAGGUCCAAAGUGUAGUGGUAUCCCUACAAUAUUUCUUAGGAAGGUAAAUAUGGAAAAGUGGCAACUAACUGCAGCACCGGCAAGGUAAAGGAUUUCUGUCACCAGAAUUAACCCUCUUAAACUGUCUGACAUUAGCGAUGUGCUAAUGUCAG